CUACGGGGGGCACCAGUGGGGAAUAUUGCACAAUGGGCGCAAGCCUGAUGCAGCCAUGCCGCGUGUAUGAAGAAGGCCCUCGGGUUGUAAAGUACUUUCAGCGGGGAGGAAGGGAGUAAAGUUAAUACCUUUGCUCAUUGACGUUACCCGCAGAAGAAGCACCGGCUAACUCCGUGCCAGCAGCCGCGGUAAUACGGAGGGUGCAAGCGUUAAUCGGAAUUACUGGGCGUAAAGCGCACGCAGGCGGUUGUUAAGGCAGAUGUGAAAUCCCCGGGCUCAACCUGGGAACUGCAUCUGAUACUGGCAGGCUUGAGUCUCGUAGAGGGGGGUAGAAUUCCAGGUGUAGCGGUGAAAUGCGUAGAGAUCUGGAGGAAUACCGGUGGCGAAGGCGGCCCCCUGGACGAAGACUGACGCUCAGGUGCGAAAGCGUGGGGAGCAAACAGGAUUAGAUACCCGAGUAGUC
rnacentral:rRNA from 1 species